rnacentral:lncRNA from 1 species
UUAGAUCUACCUUACCACCGUCGAGCCAGGUAAUUUUUUCUGUUGAAAUUUUUCUCAGAUCUACGUCAUUUUUUGAGGAUUUUUGAUGAAUAUUGACAGAUCUGUGGUUACACGACUAAGGAAAUAUGAGAACCAUAACUUUGCAGAUCUGAGUUCCUAGAGGAAUAUUGACAGCCCGGAUCUGAUCUGGUAUGUUUGAAUCCAGUGUUGUUUGCCCAGAGUGUGUUACUCAUGGAAGAAGCUGUUACUCGACAGCAUAGCUGACUUUUUUUCGCCCUUCUAUUAAGCUUGAUGUUUCCGAGGAAGGGGCCACAGGUUGUCUUACUUUUGAAUGGAAGACUCUAAAUCUGGUUAGCAUCGAGUCACGAGGGUUGGAUCCUGUGAGUCUAAAGCCUCUAUUCUAUGUUAUUUUUAUAAUUUGUUCUUCAAUGGUGUCUGCCACUGUCUGGAUAGUGUGUAAGUUGAAAACUUGGUCCUGAGUUGUAAAUUGCUCAAAGUUAUAAACUUGUUCUAGCAUUCCGAAUUUCGAAGGUGCUGAUUUCUGCCAGUAAUAUUCUAUUCAGCUACACAAGCAGACCAGUAAAGUGCUCUUGAACCGCCUCCAUUUGGGCCAGUCGGUUCUGUGCUGGUUGUUAAACCGGUGAACCAGAUUGAUGGUUGGACUAGAUU